rnacentral:rRNA from 1 species
UACGUAGGGGGCGAGCGUUGUUCGGAAUUACUGGGCGUAAAGGGUCUGUAGGUGGCUUGCUAAGUCAGACGUGAAAUCCCUCAGCUUAACUGGGGAACUGCGUCUGAUACUGGCGAGCUUGAGUGCAGGAGAGGAACGCGGAAUUCCAGGUGUAGCGGUGAAAUGCGUAGAUAUCUGGAGGAACACCGGUGGCGAAGGCGGCGUUCUGGACUGCAACUGACACUGAGAGACGAAAGCCAGGGGAGCAAACGGGG